GGAACCACUACACUUCCUGGCCCAACCACCUCCACCGCUGGGACAUCAACAACCGCAGGGACCGGCAGCACUCCAGCCCCAAGUACAUCCCCGACAACACCAAGUACAACUUCAGUGACGGGAACCACUACACUUCCUGGCCCAAUCACC